rnacentral:lncRNA from 10 species
CCAGCUAUUCAGAUUCUUUUGUCCCACAGGGUGAUCCCUUGAUGUGGUUUUCUUCCCCUUCUGCUAGUGAUGGUGCUUCCUGAGAGCUGGACGACAGUGAUUGUUAUUGCCCUUCUGGGUCUAGGCACACAGUGGAGCUACCGAUCUCUGGGCUGGUACUAGGAAAGUGUCUGCAAAGAGUCCUUUGAUGUGACCUGUCUUCAGAUAUCUCAGUCUUGGAUAUCAGCACCUGCUCCAGCGGAGCAUCAAUUGCUCUACAAUUUGGAGAUAUCAGACGAACAGAGGGAAAAUGCAGUCAGUGGUCUAAAGCUGCCCCUUAGGAAAUCUAAGGCUAUAUCUGGUUCCAUAAAGUCUUUAAUCAGUCAGUCAGAACAACUGCAGCAUUCCUGCCGCUCAGAAUACCUUAAUGGCCUUAGUAGCUGAGGUCCUCACAGCACUGGCAAGAGCAACAUGGCAUUGGAAUGGGAGGACUGAAGUAAGUUUCUUCCACAAAAGGCUUAAUGUAGAAAUUUCUUAAAAGAUCAUAUGUACCCAUGAAUGUUCUUUUUCCAGCAAGACGGAAGAAGCCAAAGACUCUCUGGUCAUUGCAGAAGGAAGAAUGAGAGCCCAAGCCUGAGGAAGAUAAAAUGAGAUGAUUUGGCUUAAUAUGAAUUAAGGCAGCUGCCAGUGGUUCUGUAAUGAGCAAACUGAUUAUUUUUUUAUGUAGCCUCUAUUCACAUUUUUAUGUUUGAUUUUGUCCUUUGAUUGUAAUGACAGGUUGUGGUUACACAUUAUUAAAGAUGAAUACUAAAGAAGCGACUAAAUAAAAAGGCAAGAAAUUGAGGAUGAUUGGUAUAAUCCCAGCAGGGAAGCAGAUGAGGAAAGGCAGAAGAUAAAGUUUUUUUUAUGUCUCUGCUACUGUGUGCUCCUCACCUACACAUGUUGGAAUAAACUUAGAAUAUUUCCUUUAUUCAAUGGUAUUGUUGUGCUAUUUUUCCAAUGAUCAGAAUCUGUGGAUGGUGAAGGGAAUGUUCAACUCUGCAAUCCUUCCAACAAGUAAAGCCAGUAAUUUCACUUAUUAACAUAUAUAUCCUAGGGAAAUUUUCCCCAUGGCAAGAAGAAACAGUAUGAGUAUGUUUGCUAUAGUUUAAAUGUCCUCUCCCAAACUCAAGCUAUUGAGAAUAUUCAUUUGGAGAUAAUACAUAUUAUC